CUCCCUGUGGCUCAGUUGGUAGAGCAUGGUGUUUGCAACACCAGGGUUGUGGGUUCGAUUCCCACAGGGGGC
rnacentral:tRNA from 1 species